rnacentral:rRNA from 1 species
UACGUAGGGUGCAAGCGUUGUCCGGAAUUAUUGGGCGUAAAGAGCUCGUAAGCGGUCUGUCGCGUCUGCUGUGAAAACUCAGGGCUUAACCCUGAGCUUGCAGUGGGUACGGGCAGACUAGAGUGCGGUAGGGGAGACUGGAAUUCCUGGUGUAGCGGUGAAAUGCGCAGAUAUCAGGAGGAACACCGGUGGCGAAGGCGGGUCUCUGGGCCGAUACUGACGCUGGAGGAGCGAAAGCGUGGGAGCGAACAGG